rnacentral:rRNA from 1 species
AGAGUUUGAUCAUGGCUCAGAUUGAACGCUGGCGGCAGGCUUAACACAUGCAAGUCGAGCGGAGAAAGGUAGCUUGCUACUGACCUAGCGGCGGACGGGUGAGUAAUGCUUAGGAAUCUGCCUAUUAGUGGGGGACAACAUUCCGAAAGGAAUGCUAAUACCGCAUACGCCCUACGGGGGAAAGCAGGGGAUCUUCGGACCUUGCGCUAAUAGAUGAGCCUAAGUCAGAUUAGCUAGUUGGUGGGGUAAAGGCCUACCAAGGCGACGAUCUGUAGCGGGUCUGAGAGGAUGAUCCGCCACACUGGGACUGAGACACGGCCCAGACUCCUACGGGAGGCAGCAGUGGGGAAUAUUGGACAAUGGGCGCAAGCCUGAUCCAGCCAUGCCGCGUGUGUGAAGAAGGCCUUUUGGUUGUAAAGCACUUUAAGCGAGGAGGAGGCUACUUGGAUUAAUACUCUAGGAUAGUGGACGUUACUCGCAGAAUAAGCACCGGCUAACUCUGUGCCAGCAGCCGCGGUAAUACAGAGGGUGCGAGCGUUAAUCGGAUUUACUGGGCGUAAAGCGUGCGUAGGCGGCUUCUUAAGUCGGAUGUGAAAUCCCUGAGCUUAACUUAGGAAUUGCAUUCGAUACUGGGAAGCUAGAGUAUGGGAGAGGAUGGUAGAAUUCCAGGUGUAGCGGUGAAAUGCGUAGAGAUCUGGAGGAAUACCGAUGGCGAAGGCAGCCAUCUGGCCUAAUACUGACGCUGAGGUACGAAAGCAUGGGGAGCAAACAGGAUUAGAUACCCUGGUAGCCCAUGCCGUAAACGAUGUCUACUAGCCGUUGGGGCCUUUGAGGCUUUAGUGGCGCAGCUAACGCGAUAAGUAGACCGCCUGGGGAGUACGGUCGCAAGACUAAAACUCAAAGGAAUUGACGG